GACGAACGCUGGCGGCGUGCUUAACACAUGCAAGUCGAACGCUGAAGCUCAGCUUUUGUUGGGUGGAUGAGUGGCGAACGGGUGAGUAACACGUGAGUAACCUGCCCCCUUCUUUGGGAUAACGCCCGGAAACGGGUGCUAAUACUGGAUAUUCACUGGUCUUCGCAUGGGGGUUGGUGGAAAGGGUUUUUCUGGUGGGGGAUGGGCUCGCGGCCUAUCAGCUUGUUGGUGGGGUGAUGGCCUACCAAGGCUUUGACGGGUAGCCGGCCUGAGAGGGUGACCGGUCACAUUGGGACUGAGAUACGGCCCAGACUCCUACGGGAGGCAGCAGUGGGGAAUAUUGCACAAUGGGCGCAAGCCUGAUGCAGCGACGCCGCGUGAGGGAUGGAGGCCUUCGGGUUGUGAACCUCUUUCGCUCAUGGUCAAGCCGCAACAAUGGUUGAGGUGAGGGUAGUGGGUAAAGAAGCGCCGGCUAACUACGUG
rnacentral:rRNA from 1 species